rnacentral:lncRNA from 1 species
AAAGAUGUCUUCCCGAUCCCGCCUAGACCCGAAAUGGUGAGUAUGUCUACCGUAUGUGAGGAUCCAUCUUUCAACCAUGAAGUGAUGAAGUUAAUGGAAUAGUCCAUCCCAAUAAAUAGAGGUUGAGCACUUUUUAAGGGUACAUGUAAUCUACGGUAGAUGUCCUUCACAAUUUCUUCAAUAAACUCUGUCUCAAACCUGAAACUUGAUUUAAUAAGAAUUACAAAACACAAUCCAAAAAACUAACAAACCAGAUUUGUUGAUUUUAUUUUUAUAAAGAUCCAAAUCAAAAUUAUAUCACAAGUGUUAGUGUUAGAUAUUUGUAGAAUAGGGUUUGUUUUCUUUUAGGUUACUUUAUUUCUAUUUUCCUAUUUUAGGUAGUAGUUGGUUUAUAAAUGAAGGUUUAACCUCUUUAUUAAUGACAAGAUAAUAUUCCAAAAACCUGAUUCGUUCACAACAACUAUUAGUUUUAAACUUUUAAGUAAGUUCUUCACGUCAAACUAUAUUGUCUUUUCGUUCGAACCAUAUGCAUAUCUAAUGUGUAAGGUCAUAAAUAUUUAUGUAUAAUAAGACCAAAACUACCAGUGUAAUACAAGUUUUCACUAAUGGGCCUUGUAACUUCACUAAAUUUUCUACAAGACCGUCAAACUUGUACUUAACUAUCAAUGUGAUAAGUUUGAAAAAAAAAAAGCCAGUAGGUUAUCCUUUACUACUUACAAAAUAAGUUAUUUAUCAUAAAAGACGACCCAUUUAAAUAUACAGGUCACAGGUUGGCGGGUUUGGAACAUAAACCCAUAUAUGACCCACCAACCCAUUUAUUUAUACGGGUUCACAUGUUGGCGGGUUCGUGGGUCAGAUUUGGGUUUGUGGGUCCAAAUUUUAGAUAUUUAAGUCUUAAACAUCCAAAUGAAAAUUAAAAACAUUCAUAGAAACAUGUUAUAGACUUAUCCUUAUAGGUUACAACUUAUGACCUUAGACCAUCCACCACGAGUAAUAAUGUCAAAACAAUCAAAUGGUCUAUGAAUAAAUGGUAUAUAUUAUAUAAUACUUAUUAAAUAUUAAUACUUGAUACAUAAAUACAUUUAAAAAUAUAAAUAUUUUUUUUAUUAAGAAUAUAAACGGGUUGGCGGGUCAACCUGUUUAUUUUUUGAGAAACCCAUAUAUGACCCGUUUAAUAAACGGGUUGGCGGGUUGACGGGUUAGCGGGUUAGCAGGUUGAAAAACUCAACCUAAAUCUAUUUAUUUCGUGUCGUGUCGCGGGUUGUGUCGCGUGUCGUGUCGAGAAUUGCCAGCCCUAGCUGUAAAGGCAUAUCCCACAAAGUAACAUAAAAAAUGACAACCUUUGCAAUAAUUUUACUUCCAGAAAAGACAACUCAUGAAGAUUAUCUAUAUCUUUGUUGAUUUUGGUUCUCAAGAAUGAACAAUUAAAAAGCUAUUCUUAAAAUAACCAAUGAAAAAGAUAGAGAUUCCAAUAAGGUCUGUAUGAACAAGUAGCAGCAAAACAUUGAACCAUGAGAAUCAUAGCAACUCAGCAAUCACAUUUUAGUCUUUUCUUUCAAUCACAAUCAACAAAAUAACUAACAUAUAAAGUAAUAAAAACAACAUUACGACUUUACACGUGUAUUAAUCAACUGAAAAACCAUUUAUAUAGUUUUCCUCUGUUUUCGGCAAUCAAAUAUACAGCUAUCAAAAACAAUAACCAAAAAGAUAAAUCGUUACCAGAGGUGACAAAAACUAAACCAUCUUAAUUAUUCUGGAAAAGAUUAGGAUAUAACUCAUUGAGUUACCGUAGUAUUAGGUUACCCAUCUGCAGCCUCUCUUUCUCAAGUAUUUUCAUGUUAAGGACGAGAACCUGAAGAUUCCCCCUUAUCCUACGAAUAAAAGGAAACGUAAGAAUAUCUUUAAAGAAACAUAAGUACAUAGAGAUCUGAUACAAAAUGCUAUGAAAACAGAUAGAUGGCAAUACAAUACACCAAGAUCUCUUUGAGUUUGUUUGUACGUAUCUGUGACUCAGCUAAAUAAAUGUGGGGUAUGUUAAAGAAUAAUAUCAAAAGGAUCAGAACAUGUCCAUAAAAAUACAAGACUACAAUAAAACAAUUUUAAAGCAUCAGUUGUGGAGGCAUGUAACAGAAACGCUUGCUUGUUAGCAAGUUGAAAUGGCUUCAAGUGAAAAAAGAUAAAUAUUAAAUUUAUGUCUAUUCUUGGAGGUCAAAUGUAAACAGUGAGAAUUGUAAUCUAUACAGCUAAAGAUCUUAGGAAUAAAUACAUGAUGUUCAUGGAGAAGUAGCAUAACACUAAAAACUUAUUGGUUAAAGUCCAAUACAUGAUUAAGGGAAUUUAAUGACCUCUGGUAGUCAAAUAAUACUUCAAAGGUUAUAUAAACUUUAUUGGAGGAAAUACAAACUAUGAACCGAACCCUUGUGCAUUUGCUGUAUAUUAACCAAAAAUAAGGGCUGAGGAAAGUUGGGUUCCAAAAAAUGUGAUGAAAUUUUGGAUUUUCUUACAAAGAAGUUAACAUGUAUUUGACAAUAAUUGCUUAAGAUAUCAUGUAUUUGACAUAAAAAUAAACAUAAAUAAAUAAAACCAAAAGACCUUGAUAACAAGUAAAAACCCUGAAUUUAGAGCCCUAAAUGGAUGAAAUAGGGAUCCAUAAUUCCUGACUCUAAGAUUAAAUAGGUAGAGAAAAAUAGACAGAUUCCCAUCAUAUCAGCCCAACCACAUUUUGAUAUUGCCAUUUCCAAGCAUUGAUUGCAAGAUUAUGACUCCUUUUAUCUUGUUACAUCCUAAACAAAUCAAAGAUAUAGUAUAUAACAUACUUGGAUAUGUAUGCCCUUUAUUCAUGUAAUGAGAGAAAGGUUUGGGUGUCAAAAAGCAUACCUCACAUGCACGACCAAGUAUGUCAGGCUUCCUUGGGGAUAAAGCUCUGAACCAAUAUUCUUCCUUUUGAUCUGAAUACAGAUAAAAAGUUAUAUGUUAAUUAUUAUUCACAAACAUCAACUUGGACAAAGUAGUUUGUAUUGGUUCCUGAUAUAUUUAUGUGAUCCAACAUAUCAAGACUUAAUUAGAUAACAUAGACCCAUUCAGACAGAUCACUACUUGGGUUGAUUCAUUUAAAAUCACAUCUACCUUGACAGUCAGGGUCGUGUGCAACGAAUUUACGUUAUAUUUUACAAGAAGAAAAAAUUUGUCGUGGAAAUUUGAUUUGUUAUAUUUUACAAGAACAAACUCUUAUAAUAGAGGUCAAUAAAAUGAAUGAUAAAUGGGUGGGUGGAUUACAUUUAUUUAUCAACUAAAAAUAAAUGGGUCAUUAUCCAUCUUUCUAAAGAAGUUGGAUCAUGGGUCAUCUACCUUGAUAGUCGAGGCCGUCUGGAACAAAUUUACAAUGAUAUGAAGACACUGUAACAUCAUAAGGAAAAAACUGUGAUCUGUUUAAGAGGUAUUCUCCAGUUGUUGUUUGAAAAGGAGAGAGAUCUCCACCAAUUAUGUGAUUCCAUGACUUGUAAUAACCCAACACAUCUUCUUCUUCAUCCUUCUUCUCUCCAUCUUCAUACACAAGACUCACCCCACACUCCUUUACAAGUUCAUUAUAUGCUUCUGUAAGAGGUUCAGGCAACUGCGGUGUAACAGUGAUAGUAAUGUGGUCACCGGCCUCCAUCUCAUUCUUCCGAAACAUCCAAUGACUUAAUAUCACCCAAAAAUCCAGAAUUUCAUUAAAUCUGUCAAGGUAGCGUUCAUAUAUCCACGUACGGUUUUUUGUAAUAUUAGUAAUUGUCAUAAUUGGCAUCCAAGGCAAAAGGUCAUCAUCUGAUAAAUACAACUCCACAUCAAUAAGGUUUAAUGUGUGCAGAGAGCAGAUGUUGAGCCCUGUAAGGAUGUUGUUUGGAGAUGAUGAUGGGAUGGUAAAUGAUAUUACUGGCCCUACGCUUCUAUGCCUAAACCAACUCGGCAUCUCCUCCGCCUCAUACAUUGUGCUGAAUAUUCCAAAUUCAUAAUACAUCAUCUGCCAAAUACAAACCACCAUAAUAAUUACAUUAUAUGUCUUCACAUAAAUAAAGACAGUUAAGUUAACUAGACAAAACCUGGAUUUCAGAUUCUGAAGGAUUAGUUCCCACGUGCCUUUCGUUGAGGAAGUCUAAAUUAGUCCAGCCCAAGCUACGUAACACCUUUUCAUCAACACUCAUCAUUUCUUGGAUUUUGAUCAUACCUUCAACUUCGAAAUCGUUCAACUCAAGUGAAGAAUAUUUCCACUCUAACCAGUCCAUUGAUAACUGGAGUGGGGACAUUUCUGGAACAAAUACAACUUUGUUUGUAUGAUAAUGAUCAAUAGCAUUAAGAAACAACUUUUUUAGUGUACUUGGAGGAUACUCGACUGACUUCAAAUUUUUACACUUAUUCAUCCAAAGUAUCUCAAGUCUAGGAAGGGUUCUCACACAACUAGGCAUGGAAUUGAAAGGAUUGCCAUCUAAAUCUAAUUCCUUUAACAUGGAUAGGCAACUAAAGUCCAUGGGAAAGGAUUCAUUUGACAACUUGUUCUUUUUAAGUGAUAAUUUUACUAAAGACCUCGGUAAAGACAUUGCAAAGGACUUCAAAUCACGUGGUAUACAACCCAUAAAGGCUCUGUUUAUGCCAAUGUUGGUAACCGUGCACAUUUCCAGUGAAUCCAUAUCCAGAUUCUUGAUUCCAGAUUCACCAAGAUCACAACCAUCUAGCAACAUUGUUUUAACCUUCUUUAACAUGCCUAUAUUUCUUGGAAGUUUUUCAAGCUUCUUGCAGUAACUCAGAUCGAUGAGGAUAAGCUCAACACAUUGCCCAAUUGAUUCACAAACAUCAACCAAACCAAUGCAAUUUCUAAGUAUUAACCUCUCAAGUGCAGAGAGUUGGUCAAAGUCACCAACACUAUGAAGUUGUUCGCAGAAACUUAAAUUAAGAAUCUUCAGUGAAGCAAACAACCUUUUCUCUUUAAAGCACGAGCCAUCUAACUACAAAAUGGAAAUAAGUUAGUAUCGUAUUGAAUUUCAUCAACUCACAUGCAUGAAUAAUAAAUGAAGAUAACUUUACCCUUUGCCUCUUCUCAAGUCGUUGUGGAUUACUAUAACAACCGACAAAUGAUUCAAUAUUGCUAUAUGACAUGUCAAGAGCAACAAGAUUCUCUAUAGGUAAGUUUAAAGGUAUAGACUUUGAAUAAAACCCAUGCAUACAUAACCAUCUUAUUUCUUCUGGAAAGUUCUUAUAAGACCCAUGCAUGUGCACAUAAUUAAGUUGUAGUAUCAUAAGAUUAUCCAUGUUACUCAAGGCAUCUGUCUUCAGCUCAAAUGAUCCUCUCAACUUCUCUUUCUCAAGCAUGUACAUGUCAAGGGAAAGGCCUAGAAGAUUUCCCUUACCCUAAAAAGAAACAGAAUGCAAACAAACAAAUUAGGCAAUGCAAAUGUUUUCAUGGACAUGCACACUACUAAAAGCAUACAUGGCCUCGUACCUUUUUUUGUUUCAACACUCUGAAUGACUCCUUAUGACACCAUAAUCGACUUCGCUUCCAUGGCUUAUCAGGUGAUUCUUGAUGUACUUCGAAUCUGCCCAUCUCUUGAACCAACUGAUGCAUCUUCAAUUCAUUAUUCCGUCCAAUACUAAGAAGACAUUUAUCAAUGAGAUUCGUAAUUCCGGAUCUUGUGUUUAUAUCACAUGCCUCCAAUAUUGUUUCGCUAAGAUCUUUAUCUAUUCCAACAAAAAAACAAGCAAUAUGCUUAAACAAGUCCUUAUCGUUUUUGGAUGGCAAAGAGUUGAAGCUCAUUCUCAAGACAUUAUUUAUACGAUCAUUUGUUUCUUUCUUUAGCCCUUUCAUGCACCCUUCCCAAUACGCCACACCUCGAUUAUGAAGAACCUUGCCCAAAACUUCAAGAGCCAAUGGAUGUCCUUGACAAUACUCCAAAAGCUUAGCUGACACCUCUUCAUAACCUUCCUUGGGAUGGUUGCACAUGAAUGCAUGGGAACACAAAAGUUGUCGUGAUUCAGUCUCAUCUAAGCCUUCAAGGAAGUGUUCUACAUGCUUGGGUUUAAUGUUUGUUUUAAAUAGUGCACAACUCUCUGUUAAGCAUUUGUCCUUUGUUGUUAUUAUAACUUUGCUUCCGGGAUGAAAACCUUUGCUUCCAAGUAAUGCAUCCAACUGAUCAAUACUAUUGAUAUCAUCAAGAACAAGGAACAACCUUUUACGAGCUACUACGUUCUCUAUCAUUGAUGUGUAUUUUGAAACAUCAUAAACUUGAAUUGAACUUGUUUUUGAAAUGUCACCGCACAGUUGUUUUUGUAUAUCAAGUAGCCCAUUAUACUUUCCAUCACAUCUCCUAGUGAUAUCUUCAAUAUAGCUGCUUUUGUUGAAUUCAUGACAAUAUAGCCCAUAGACAUGUUUGGCUAAAGAUGUCUUCCCGAUCCCGCCUAGACCCGAAAUGGUGAGUAUGUCUACCGUAUGUGAGGAUCCAUCUUUCAACCAUGAAGUGAUGAAGUUAAUGGAAUAGUCCAUCCCAAUAAAUAGAGGUUGAGCACUUUUUAAGGGUACAUGUAAUCUACGGUAGAUGUCCUUCACAAUUUCUUCAAUAAACUCUGUCUCAAACCUGAAACUU